GCCGAGCUAGCUCAAUGGCAGAGCAGCUGAUUUGUAAUCAGCAGGUUGCGGGUUCGAGUCCUGUGCUCGGCUCCA
rnacentral:tRNA from 1 species